GCGAGGUAGAGCAAAUCUCAAAAAAACAAUCUCAGUUCAGACUGCAGGCUGCAACUCGCCUGCACGAAGUCGGAAUUGCUAGUAAUCGCAGAUCAGCAUGCUGUGGUGAAUACGUUCCCGGGCCUUGUACACACCGCCCGUCACACCAUGGGAGUCGGUAACACCCAAAGUUGGUAGUCUAACCGCAAGGAGGACGCCGCCUAAGGUGGGAUUGAUGACUGGGGUGAAGUCGUAACAAGGUAUC
rnacentral:rRNA from 1 species